ACGGAAGGCAGCAGUGGGGAAUAUUGGGCAAUGGGCGAAAGCCUGACCCAGCAACGCCGCGUGAAGGAAGAAGGCCUUCGGGUUGUAAACUUCUUUUACCAGGGACGAAGGACGUGACGGUACCUGGAGAAAAAGCAACGGCUAACUACGUGCCAGCAGCCGCGGUAAUACGUAGGUUGCAAGCGUUGUCCGGAUUUACUGGGUGUAAAGGGUGCGUAGGCGGCAUGGCAAGUCAGUCGUUAAAGACCAGAGCUUAACUCUGGACCAGCGAUUGAAACUGUCAAGCUAGAGUACAGGAGAGGUUAGUGGAAUUACUAGUGUAGAGGUGGAAUUCGUAGAUAUUAGUAAGAACACCAAUGGCGAAGGCAGCUAACUGGCCUGAAACUGACGCUGAGGCACGAAAGUGUGGGGAGCAAACAGGAUUAGAUACCCUGGUA
rnacentral:rRNA from 1 species